rnacentral:rRNA from 1 species
UACAGAGGGUGCGAGCGUUAAUCGGAGUUACUGGGCGUAAAGGGCGCGUAGGCGGUUAUAUAAGUGAGAUGUGAAAUCCCUGGGCUUAACCUAGGAACUGCAUCUCAUACUGUAUGACUGGAGUAUUGUAGAGGGUAGUGGAAUUUCCGGUGUAGCGGUGAAAUGCGUAGAGAUCGGAAGGAACACCAGUGGCGAAGGCGGCUACCUGGAUCAGCACUGACACUCAGGCACGAAAGCGUGGGGAGCAAACAGG